UUAACGUGGUGUUAUUGUGCAUGUUAUAUUUUGGAUGUAGAGGAGAUUAGUUGUCCGUUAGU
rnacentral:tRNA from 1 species